AGACGCUGCCUGGCCGCGCGCGCAGGCGCAGGCGCAGGCGCAGAGGCCGACACCACGGGGCGGCUGGUAUGUGUCCACCGGCCCCUAGGCGCCUCGAGCCCCGCCCCUGGGAGACGCAGGCUCCUCCCCGCGGAGCGAGAGCCCGCGGAGCUGCUCCGAGACCCGCGGGAGGGCACCUCCGGUCACCCGAGCCGCAAAUCCCCGCCGUCCGAAGGGGGUGUCGCCCCGGGCUGUCGGCCCAGCGUGGCUUAGGCCAGGUACAACCGGCAGCGCCCGCCAAGCCCUGGGCUAGGGACGCCUGCGGGAGUUCACGGGGAGGCGCCGGUGUCUGAGGUCUGAGAAGACAGCGGCCACCGGAAAAGGUGCUAAUGUUUGCAGACCCCGAUCCAUCGACACCCCAAGGAAAUGCUGUGCACAAAAUUCCAAGAGGGCCUUUUCGAAUAGACGCAUGAACGGUGUUUGUGUCUGGAUCGUCCAGCCUCCCGGGAUCGAUUGGGAAUCUAGCUUCUGCUUGCCUUUCCAGCGCGACGCACAGUAGGAGCCUAAUAAAUGUUUGCUGAAUGAAUGCUGAAUAUCGAACUCAGCUCCCUGGAACUUUGGAUCUGUGUGUGACACAUGAGCCUCAUUGUUGGAGUUCUCCAGCUCUGGAGGGGCUGAAGGAGCCGCAAUGAUUCUAGAAGAUGACUCCAUACAGCAACUACUGAAGAAAGGACCAGACUUCAGCUGGGAAUGUGGAUGGGCCGACCUGGCUGGGACCCAUGAAUCUGGAGAAGAGCUGGAGAAUGGAGAGUAUUAUCUGUAUUUGAGGACUUUAAUUUCUGUGUAAGACCAAAGGAGGAGAGACACAUUUUGUUCAAAAUUUAAAUUUUAUGUGGUACACUAUCUGAUAUAACCUGUCUAGUGAGUUUGUUUGGACAACCUAAUUCAGCUUUAUCUGACAUGGAACCUGAACUAGAGGAUGAGAUCUUGAUAUUCUGUACAAGUUGAUGUAAUACCCUGAUGCAUUUCGGGGACUCGGCAUAAAAUGAAAGAGAUUUGCAAAGACUCUUGAGGGGCUGGGGGAUGAGAGUGUGGAACUGUACAUUGGACCCUAAACUGGAGUGGAAGAGGCAUCUUCAAUGUUCAUACAUUGUCCAGCUAUAAGUUCAUUUAAGUAGCAGACCUGAUAAAUAUUUGAGGUCAAAACCCUACCAUGUUUUUUUUAAAACUUACCAUGUUAAUCAAAGUAUUCAUUUGCUUGAAAAGAAAAAAAAGUUGGGUAAAGAAUCUAAAUGGACAUUUCUCAAAAGACUAUAUACAAUGUGCCAUGAGGACAUGAAAAAAUGGUCAACAUCACUAGUCAUUAGUGAUGCAGAUCACUAGAAAAUGCAAAUCAAAACUAGAAUGAGGCUGGGCACAGUGGCUCAUGCCUGUAAUCCGAGCACUUUGGGAGGCUGAGGCAGGUGGAUCACCUUAGGUCAGGAGUUCAACACCAGCCUGGCCAACAUGGUGAAACCCCGUGUCUCCCAAAAAUACAAAAAUUAGCCGGACGUGGUGGUGGGUGCCUGUAAUCCUAGCUAUUCAGGAGGCUGAAGCAGGAGAAUCACUUGAACCCGGGAGGCAGAGGUUGCAGUGAGCUGAGAUUGUGCCACUGCACUCCAGCCUGGGCGACAGAGUGAGGCUCUGUCUCAAAAAAGAAAAAAAAAAACUUGAAUAAGAUAAAAUUCACACGUGUUAGGAUGACUAUAAUAAAAUUAAAAUGGAAAAUAACAAGUGUCUGUUUGGAGAGGAUGUGGAGAAAUCAGAACCCUCAUACAUUGCUAGUAAGAUGUUCAAUGGUUAUAGCCAUUUGGGAAAACAGUCUGGCAGUUCCUCCAAAGGUUAAACAUAGAGUAACCAUGUGACCUAGCAAUUUCACUCCUAGCUAUACAGCCAAGAGAACUGAAAGCAUAUGCCCACACCAGAUCAUGUGCACGAAUGUUCAUAGCAGAUUUAUUCAUAAUAGCCAAAAAGCAGAAACAACUCAAAUGUCCAUCAAUAGAUGAAUAAACAAAAUGUGGCAUAUCCAGGCAACGGAACAUUAUUCAGCCCCCAAAAGCAAUGAAACACUGGUCCAUGCUGCAGUGUUGGUGAACCUUGGAAACAUUAUGCCAAGCCAAAGAAGCCAGAUACAAAAGGCCACAAAAUUAUAUGAGUCCAUUUCUAUGACAGAUUGGAACAGGCAAAUCCAUAGAAAGGAAGACGAAUGGUUGCCAGGACUUAGGGGGAGAGGAGAAUGAGGAGUUAGUGCUUAGUUGAUACAGGGUUCCUGGUGGGGAUGAUGAAAACGUUCUGGAAUGAGAUCGUGGUGAUGGUGACAUAACUCUAUGAAUAUUUUUUAAAGUAUUGCAUUGUACACUUUAAAAUUUUUUUUGUAAAGGCAGUUUGCCAGGUCUCGAACUCCUGGACUCAAGUGACCCACCCAUCAUGGCCUCUCAAAGUGCUGGGAUUACAGGCAUGAGGCACCAUGCCUGGCAUGUAUACUUUAAAUGGGGAAACUGGGUGAAGGGUACAUGGGACCUCCCUGCACUGUCUUUAGAACUUCCUGUGAAUCUAUCACAACUCAAAAUAAAGACAAACCAACAAAAG
ensembl:lncRNA novel transcript